UCAUGGGUGUGGACUUCUGUCCCCUCCACGUUUUCAGGUCCCUUGGGACAGUCUUUAUAUUAUCUCUUUAGUGUCCUUCCACAGCCCUCAGUAUAGUAUUUUUCACAUAGCAAAAGCUCAAUAAUUGCUCCCCAAUACAGUCAAUAGUUUUUUUGUUUUGGUUUAGAGACAGGGUCUCACUCUGGAGUCCACCACCAUACCCAGCAGUAGUUUGCUUUUAAAAUGCCAAUAUGGAGCGGCUUUAUCUGUUUUUCUCCUCUAAUUUGAAUAGAAAACACAUUUGCAAUAACUUUGCUUAGCAUAAGGACAUCUCCUCAGGGAAACAAAUAAAGGCUUUUAAUUUAUUUGAUCCUGCAAAAGACAAAGGGAACUUGAAAUUGAGAGUCAGGUAACUGAAUGGGGAAUAGGCGAAGAGAAAUGGACAAAUAUAAGGGAAAUUUUGAUAGAAGAGGUUGUUGAACUGAAAAAAGUAUAAAUAGUCUUAAAUCAGUUUCCCCUGUGAACUGUUAGUACUCAGAGCAGUGCUGAGAAGCCCCUGAAGCACUUCUGUGACAUUAGGAAGCCACAGCAAACUUUUUCUGAUUUUUUUUAAGCAAACAGACUAAAUAGACACUUUUUUAUUUUCUUAAUGCAAAAAAAGAGGUAGUUUGAAUUUAUCUUUAAUCCAACUUGCUCCAUAUGGCUAAAUAUAGAGGAUCCAAACUUGUGCUUCUUAAGUUCCAGUUAAGAAGAGUUUCUUUUCUUCACCUGAAGAUAGAUGACUCCCUCUUGGCAUGUAUUCUCAGCACUGGAAGUUGAGGCACUGAAACCCUGUUGAGAUUCAGGCACAGGGCAGCAAGCUGGGCAGGUGGUACCAAAGAGUUUUAUCUCAGUGUAGCUGUAGAAACACCUGGUGCCGGCUGUGAUUGAUGAGGGCAUAAAGACUAUUAAUCCAGAGUAUGGGGGAGAAGCAAAGUGGGUGGGACACUGCUCGAGGUAAGAAGGACAAGGAGUGAAGAGACAAUGCAAGCGGGUCAGGGACAACCUCCAAUUCUGCUUUGCUCAGUGGAGUCUGACACCCAGCAGGAGAAUGGGAUGCUGGUCUCAGAUUACAGUGCUACUUAUUUCAGUGCCCCAAUCUGUUUGGUUUUGAUAAAAGAUCAGCAUGAAGGCCAAAUCAGACUUCCUGGAAAUUAUGUGACAUUGAGGAGAGGCCCAACUUUCAAAGUCUACACUUGGCAACAACAAAGCACGGCUCAUUGAAUACCAGUCAAGAGACAGACUAAUGGAAGGAGGUUGCAGUGAGACAAAGCCAAGGAAUCUGCAAUUUAACCCUGUCCUCCUGAGAUCCUCGUGACAUUUUUUCUUUGCAUACAGUGCUGGGGAUUGAACCCAGGGCCUUCACACAGAAUAUCUCCAGCCCUGUUUUUGUUUUUUUAUUUUGAAACAGAGUCCUGCUAAUUUGCUUACAUUGGGCACAAACUUGUGACCCUCCUGUCACAGACUUCCAGAAUGCUGGGAUAUAGGUGUGUGCCAUUAUACCCAGUUCAAUAAUUAAAUUAAAGACUCCUACUCUACAGCA